GUGAAUCAUCAAAUUUUUGAACGCAAAUUGCACUCUCUGGUAUUCCGGAGAGUAUGCCUGUUUGAGGGUCAGUUUAAAUAGAAAUCGGUGUGGUUGCUGCCUUUCGUGGUGACGCACCGGAUGUGGGUCGUCUUGCCUUCGGUUAAGUGACCUAAAAUUUUGCAUGAUUUUUUCUGAAGGUUUUUAAUUAUUUUUAGGUAGGUUUGCGUGUUAGAUU
rnacentral:misc_RNA from 1 species